AUGAACCCCUCCUCGGCCCCGGGUCCGGAUGGAUUACUAGUAACGUUUUUCAAAACGUUCUGGCAAACCAUCAAACCGGAGGUCAUGGCCCUCUUCGACGAAUUCUUCUCGGGGACCAUGGACCUUGGGCGCCUAAACUAUGGGGUCAUCACGCUCAUCCCCAAAGUUUCGGGCGCCUCUGACAUCCGCCAGUUCCGCCCUAUCACUGUGAUCAAUGUGAUAUUCCGGAUUCUGGGUAAAGGGUACGCCAAUAGGGUGACCCUUCUUGCUGACUCCAUCACCCACCCCAGCCAAUCCGCCUUCAUCCAAGGCCGAUAUAUUUUGGAUGGGGUUUUGGUCUUCCACGAAGUUCUUCAUGAAGUCCGGUCCAAGCACCAUCGUGCGGUCUUCCUGAAGCUUGACUUCCAUAAAGCCUAUGAUACGGUUCACUGGCCCUUCCUUCGAGAAGUAUUGCUCCGUAAGGGUUUCGAUGACCGGUGGGUGACCAGAGUUAUGCAGCUCGUCUCCUGCGGUCGGACCGCGGUUAACAUUAACGGUGAGAUCGGGUCAUACUUCCCCACUCUCUGUGGGGUUCGCCAGGGUGACCCGUUCUCCCCGUUUCUGUUCAACAUGGUGGUCGAUGCCCUUGCUGUCAUCCUGGAUAAGGCCAAAACAUAA
rnacentral:rRNA from 1 species